AUUCCCUGGUUGAUCCUGCCAGUAGUGAUAUGCUCGUCUCAAAGAUUAAGCCAUGCAAGUCUAUGUACAAGCCAAAUUAAGGUGAAACCGCGAAUGGCUCAUUAAAUCAGUUAUGGUUCCUUAGAUGUUUUCCAGUUACAUGGAUAACUGUGGUAAUUCUAGAGCUAAUACAUGCAAUCAAAGUCCGGACUAAAGUACGGACGCUUUUAUUAGAUCAAAACCAAUCGGUCUUUCGGGACUGUUUUGUCUUUUGGUGACUCUGAAUAAACCAAAGUUGAUCGCACGGUCUCCGCACCGGCGACGCAUCUUUCGAAUUUCUGCCUUAUCAACUGUCGAUGGUAGAUUCUUUGCCUACCAUGGUUGUAACGGGUAACGGGGAAUCAGGGUUCGAUUCCGGAGAGGGAGCCUGAGAAACAGCUACCACAUCCAAGGAAGGCAGCAGGCACGCAAAUUACCCACUCCCGGCUCGGGGAGGUAGUGACGAAAAAUAACGAUACGGGACUCAUCCGAGGCCCCGUAAUCGGAAUGAGAACACUUUAAAUCCUUUAUCGAGGAUCUAUUGGAGGGAAAGUCUGGUGCCAGCAGCCGCGGUAAUUCCAGCUCCAAUAGCGUAUAUUAAAGUUGUUGCGGUUAAAAAGCUCGUAGUCGGACUUGUGUCCGACGCUGUCGGUUCACCGCUCGUCGGUGUCUAACUGGCAUGCUUUGUUGGGACGUAUUGCCGGUGGUCCGAGCCCGUGCGGUUCCGCCGUCGCGGUUCGAGUCGUUUCCCCGAGCCUCACGGCGAAGGGUUCGCUCACGCGGCGGCACCGUGCGUGGGGUAGGACCUGUUUUAACCCAUUGCGGUGCUCUUCACCGAGUGUCACAGUGGGCCGGCACGUUUACUUUGAACAAAUUAGAGUGCUUAAAGCAGGCAGCAGCCGCCUGAAUACUUUUGUGCAUGGAAUAAUGAAAUAGGAUCUUGGUUCUAUUUUGUUGGUUUUCUGAAUGCCCGAGAUAAUGAUCAAUAGGGACGGACGGGGGCAUUCGUAUUGCGACGUUAGAGGUGAAAUUCUUGGAUCGUCGCAAGACGAGCCGAAGCGAAAGCGUUUGCCAAGAACGUUUUCACUGAUCAAGAACGAAAGUUAGAGGUUCGAAGGCGAUCAGAUACCGCCCUAGUUCUAACCAUAAACGAUGUCAGCCAGCGAUCCGUCGAAGUUCCUCCGAUGACUUGACGGGCAGCUUCUGGGAAACCAAAGCUUUUUGGUUCCGGGGGAAGUAUGGUUGCAAAGCUGAAACUUAAAGUAAUUGACGGAAGGGCACCACCAGGAGUGGAGCCUGCGGUUCAAUUUGACUCAACACGGGCAAUCUCACCAGGCCCAGACACUGGAAGGAUUGACAGAUUGAGAGCUCUUUCUUGAUUCAGUGGGUGGUGGUGCAUGGCCGUUUUUAGUUGGUGGAGUGAUUUGUCUGCUUAAUUGCGAUAACGAACGAGACUCUAGCCUGCUAACUAGUCGUUCAAACAUCCUUCGUGCUGUUUGCGACAUAAAAUCUUCUUAGAGGGACAGGCGGCUUCUAGUCGCAUGAGAAUGAGCAAAAACAGGUCUGUGAUGCCCUUAGAUGUUCUGGGCCGCACGCGCGCUACACUGAAGGAAUCAACGUGUUUUCCCUGUCCGAGAGGACCGGGUAACCCGCUGAAUCUCCUUCGUGCUAGGGAUUGGGGCUUGCAAUUAUUCCCCAUGAACGAGGAAUUCCCAGUAAGCGCGAGUCAUUAGCUCGUGUUGAUUACGUCCCUGCCCUUUGUACACACCGCCCGUCGCUACUACCGAUUGAAUGAUUUAGUGAGGUCUUCGGACCGGGGGUAGCGGGGGAUAACCACGCUUCCUCUGGGAAGAUGUCCGAACUUGAUUAUUUAGAGGAAGUAAAAGUCGUAACAAGGUUUCCGUCGGUGAACCAGCGGAAGGAUCAUU
rnacentral:rRNA from 1 species